rnacentral:rRNA from 1 species
GGCGGUGUGUACAAGGCCCGGGAACGUAUUCACCGUAGCAUUCUGAUCUACGAUUACUAGCGAUUCCGACUUCAUGGAGUCGAGUUGCAGACUCCAAUCCGGACUACGACGCACUUUAUGAGGUCCGCUUGCUCUCUGCUGAGGUCGCUUCUCUUUGUAUGCGCCAUUGUAGCACGUGUGUAGCCCUACUCGUAAGGGCCAUGAUGACUUGACGUCAUCCCCACCUUCCUCCAGUUUAUCACUGGCAGUCUCCUUUGAGUUCCCGGCCGGACCGCUGGCAACAAAGGAUAAGGGUUGCGCUCGUUGCGGGACUUAACCCAACAUUUCACAACACGAGCUGACGACAGGCAUGCAGAACCUGUCUCAGAGUUCCCGAAGGCACCAAUCCAUCUCUGGAAAGUUCUCUGGAUGUCAAGAGUAGGUAAGGUUCUUCGCGUUGCAUCGAAUUAAACCACAUGCUCCACCGGUUGUGCGGGCCCCCGUCAAUUCAUUUGAGUUUUAACCUUGCGG